GAUGAACGCUGGCGGCGUGCCUAAUACAUGCAAGUCGAGCGAACGGACGAGAAGCUUGCUUUUCUGAUGUUAGCGGCGGACGGGUGAGUAACACGUGGAUAACCUACCUAUAAGACUGGGAUAACUUCGGGAAACCGGAGCUAAUACCGGCUAAUAUUUUGAACCGCAUGGUUCAAAAGUGUAAGACGGUCUUGCUGUCACUUAUAGAUGGAUCCGCGCUGCAUUAGCUAGUUGGUAAGGUAACGGCUUACCAAGGCAACGAUGCAUAGCCGACCUGAGAGGGUGAUCAGCCACACUGGAACUGAGACACGGUCCAGACUCCUACGGGAGGCAGCAGUAGGGAAUCUUCCGCAAUGGGCGAAAGCCUGACGGAGCAACGCCGCGUGAGUGAUGAAGGUCUUCGGAUCGUAAAACUCUGUUAUUAGGGAAGAACAUAUGUGUAAGUAACUGUGCACAUCUUGACGGUACCUAAUCAGAAAGCCACGGCUAACUACGUG
rnacentral:rRNA from 1 species